GAGCUGUGGGGAUCCCGAUGCGAUCCGUCAGCCAGAGUCGGUUUUCAAGUUCAGUAUCCGUUUGAACUUCGCCGCGUGCAGUCGACUUUUGGAGGCAGUCACAUUCCUAAAACGGUUUAUGCCCAAUCUUCUCUGAAGGCCUGUGUGGUGUGGUGUUUCAAGGCUAGGUUGUGCUUUGAUGUUGAACUCUGGUAUUGUGCUCGCCGUUUGUUGGCGGCGUAUUGACAGAACGGGCCCCCUCGAGUGGCUCUUUUCAAUUUUGGUUUUGACCGAGAUCAACGUCGAGAUGUGUGGUGACUUUACAGCGUGAAAGGGGUUUGAUGGGAUAUUCUUCUGCGAAGCGUGUUUCUGUGAUGUGUGAAUGACGGAAAAUUGAGCUUUUGUGAAAAGUUGGGAUGACGAGAUUUCAACUCGCCGUCAUCACAUCGAUCCGUGUUUGGAAUUAGGAAACCGAGUUUUGGGAUCACCGGGAUGCAGGGUCGAGUUGUUUCGAAGAAAGGACUUCAUACAGAGAGGCGGGUUUCCGCUUGGUCCGAUCCUGCUGGUAAUGAAAAUUCAUGUAAUCGUUUGUGAAAGCUGUCGGAGAAAUUGAAUCAAAUUGUGCGGGGAAUUGUUCGAGGAAAUCUUUGGUUUGGUGGCGUUCAGUGAGAUUGGCCCAACUUUCAAGAGCGCCGAAGAUUUGGGCACGCUUCCAACUCCUGAGUAUAAGAUGCGGGAAAAGUUUUACGGCAUAAUGCGAGUGUUCUGAAGUGGUGCAAGUGUGACAAAGGUGGCGGGAGGAAGAAAAGCUAAGGAAUCCGAUUGCCAACUUUCCAGUCGCACAAGGAAAUUGGAAGAGUUUAUCUAGCGAACGCGUGCCCUGAAAAAGUGAUUAAAAACUUUUCGGGGAAAGAAGUGAUUAGUGAACGAUUAAGUGGAUCUAUUGAAGGCUACCGCUGAUUUGAUUUGGAAAUUGGAAGCUUCCGUUCGUUACGACUAGAAGCGUGGAAGCUAUACGAACGUGUUCGCCUGACAGGCACACACAUCGCCCCGAGGUGCGGAACGCCGCCGCCACUGUCAGAUUCAAGUGGAUGCUUCUGAAUUGAAUAGAUUCUAAUUGAAUUAUGUUUGGAUGGAUCCUCCGGGAGAGUGCCUCUAUAAAGCGCUAAAUACACGUGUGUGUACCGAAUCCAAGUGGAAGCCGUGUAACUAAAUUGCUGAAAAGGAAGUGAUUCUCGUGCUCCCAUUUGAAAGAAACCGAACGCCCGAAAGUGUGAAUCAAUCAACAACCGAGCGCGCCAUAUGUGAGCAGUGCGCAGUGCAGCGGCAACUAUUUGAGCGCACGGAAAGUGCAUUUUGCAAUAAGUGUAUCUCUAGCGAUAGUGCCAUCAUCGACUGCGUGUAUCUAUCUACUGAAGGGCGGGAAGAAGAAAGUGCACCAGAUGGUUCCGAUUUAUUUGGACGCCGACGCCCCGCUUCUGCUAGUCUAGUCAUCAAGGAAACAGCAAUGAUUGAAAAUCGUUUUUUGAACGAGCGGCACCGUUGGAUGCACUAGUUUUCGCGGAUGCGUUCAGCCACAGCACCGCCGGUGAUACAAUGAUGAUGGUGCCAUGGUUGGAGAAAAGCACGACUCCAACGCAGUUGCCGACUCCUCGACUGAUAAGCAGAAGCCACUGUUAUUGCUGUUGGUGCUGCUGCUGCUACUGCUUCCAUCGCUAGUGAUGGUGACACGUGUAAUAAAUUUCACCCGCGCCAUAAUACGCUUACUUCGGAGAAAUGACGCACACAGGGGUGUUUGGCUAGUUUAGUUGGCAAAAGUCAGAGGAAGAGAUUUUCUUUCAAUGAAUGAACAAGUGUAGAUUGUGUCUUGUGAAAGAACAAGAUAUACCGGCCAACUAGGUUGAUCAAGUUCCCCAAUGUGCGAUCCAAAACUGAGCCGCAAUAAGUGAAUUCUGGAAAAAUUCGUUUCCCACGCUGAUUGCAACCAUUUAUCGUUGUCUCUUAGGAGGAAGAAUCCACGAAACCACCAUUGUGGGCGAAUGAUUGCACCGCAAAUUAAUCAUCCCGUUCGGUUGGGAUUUCCGAUAAAAAGUGAUUUCACGUACAUGUGUGGGUUGUGCUUUCGAAAAAGAAGAAGAUCCGAGGAAAAAUGUCCUCGCUCGGGUUCAUCGAUUACGCGAACAUAUCCGCAUUGAGCAUGAUGGGAUUAUUUAACGCCAGUCUAAACUAUCUCAACGGUUCAAACGGGAGUGCGCCGGGUUUGGUGGGAGGCCAGCUGGUGGGAGGCGCGGGAAUUUCCACCAGUUUUGGACCCUUUGGCAGCGGAAACACCACACUCGGUAGUAGCUUAUCGGCAAACUUCAGCACGACAGGCACGCUGCUACUGAACAACUCACCAGCCACGUUUGCCAACGGAUCGGUAGUGGAGUUCGGGUUGGUGACCGGGGACCGGGCGUCGGCUACCGUUGGCCAGGGGUUUGCAACGGCCAACUUCAGCUACCCGGAAAGCAACUCAGUGCAGAAAGAGUUUAUCUUUGAUCGGACCGAUGUGAGAGUGAUUUUUAUAACGCUGUACUCGUUGGUGUUUUGUUGCUGCUUUUUCGGCAACCUGCUUGUGAUUCUGGUGGUGACACUCUCGCGGAGGCUCCGCUCCAUAACGAACUUUUUCCUGGCGAACCUGGCCGUGGCCGACCUGUGCGUGGGCGUGUUUUGCGUGAUGCAGAACUUGACCAUCUACCUGAUCGAGAGUUGGGUGUUUGGUGACUUCCUGUGCAAGAUGUACCAAUUCGUGCACUCGUUGAGCUACACGGCGUCGAUUUUCAUCCUGGUGGUUAUCUGCAUGGAGCGGUACUUUGCCAUCAUCCAUCCCAUCACGUGCAAGCAGAUAUUGACCUCCAGGAGGUUGAGGCUGGUGAUUGUGGCCGUUUGGAUCACUUCGGCCGUCUACUCAGUGCCAAAGUUCAUCUUUGUCCGAACGAUUACCAAUAAUCUGGGCGACGACCAGCUGGAAACCAUCUGCAUCAUCAAUCGGAAGGCGUUCAACUCGGAGCUUUUCGAUAUCAUCAAUUUUGCCUUACUCUAUCUGCUGCCGCUGCUGGUCAUGACCGUCCUGUACAGCCGGAUAGCGAUAGCACUGUGGAAAAGCUCCCGCGGGUUGGAGCGACACAUCGCACUGCAGAACACCACCUCGUCCAACUACUCGAACAAUUUCAAUCGAAAGCCGAGCAGCAAGUACGAGAAAAGGGCCGUCGGAGUCACCGAAAGUCAGGUUUCCGUCGAAUCGGACAAGGUGGUGGUAACGACGUGGCGGUCGCAGAACAGCUUCCACCAUCAGCGCCAUGGAACCCAACUGACCCAGGUGUCGCACUCAUCCAACAACGUGCUGAGGGCGAGGCGGGGCGUCAUAAGGAUGCUGAUGGUUGUGGUACUAACGUUCGCCCUGUGCAAUUUACCGUUCCACGCGCGCAAGAUGUGGCAAUACUGGUCCACGGACUACCAGGGCGAUUCGAACUUCAACGCCCUGUUCACGCCGCUCACCUUCCUGGUGACGUACUUCAACUCGGGCGUCAAUCCGCUGUUGUACGCCUUCCUUAGUCGAAACUUCCGCAAGGGAAUGCGCGAACUGUUGCUUUGUUCGUUCAAGAAGACCAAAACCAAGUCCCUGAACCAGCGCAUCCCGAUGCAUGUAAGUAACAUUAUCAUCGACUGAUUAGACCUUCUCCCACGGCGGAUGAUGAGUAUCACCACCACCACCCGCGCCGCUCAUCGAAAGCCGCGCAUGAGCUUCGCCUGCCAUGUGUUCAUCAAAGAACUUUUCUCGCUUUGAGACCCACCCUUGUCCCUGCAUCUAGAGAGCCUUCAUAGUCCGUAGUCAGUCUGUCCUAGAAAGCCGUUUAGAAAUAGAACCCCCGAGUACCGAUCCCCGCCCUGCCCCCGCCUCGCCCGCCGACAGGUCAACAACCCAAACGCUGUCUAUUGCUUCCUUUGAUGGGCCAGCUGACGGCUACAACGCUGCCGGAUGGACUAAGGUGACGCAAUUACACUGGAAAAAUCGAAACCGGGAAAAGCGACGACAAUCACCAUCGUUGGCCACUAGAGAAAUUGUCUGUAAUUGGAAAGUAUACGUACGCGUGCUGAUUGGCUGGUAAUAAUUGAUAAGCUUUGAAAGGCAGAUAUAGUGAUACAGAGCGACUCGACACGAUUCCAGCGACGCUAAUUGAGUUUGAGCUAGCUUCUGUUCCGCGGGACUUGAACGGUAGUGAUGGACUCCUCAAGGCGACCAAUUGGCGAAUCAAAUUGAUUCGAACGACGACGACGAUGAUCGACGCGAGAUGGACACCGCGCCAGCAGCAUUGUGCCUCAAGCAAUAGAACCAUUCCUUACCGACCGAUUCAACCCAUGUAGGAUUUCCCCAAUGAUGCUACGACCUGAUCGUGUGCCGCCGGUGCUGCUCCGGCCUCCUACGGAACCCACUGGUUUGGUGGUGGAACAA